AUGUGUUACCUUGGAAGAACUCUGAUCUCCUGCUUACAGAAGAGGUUUUCUACUGGUGCUAGACAAGCUGCAGAAUCCGAAGUAGCUGGUGGCCUGCACUGCUCCUAACAGGAGGUCUCUGUCCUAUUUGCAGAGACAGGUAGAGUGUGCCAAUGCCCACCAGUCACAAGCUCCUGCAUCUUGACUUCUCCUUAUCCCUGGGUACCUGAAAGGAUGUGGUUACAGACUAGGCUCCUUAAUGUGUGUGCUCUUGCUUUCUAUGUGCAGGCACUUCAAUGGAAAAGGUUAACAUUUUUCCUAUCACUUUUUUUCUGAAUAAAAUAAUGCAACAC